rnacentral:lncRNA from 1 species
UUUAAUUUAAUGUAAAUUAAAUCAACUUGAAUCUUAAUGUGCAGGAAAUUAAUUCACACACAAUUUCUUUUUCCCUUCUGCUAAAACCCUAAAACAUCAAUUACAGUCACCACUGUCACCUUGCACCAUGUAGCAGCUGCCAGCCACGGACCACUGUGCGCUGCCGGCCAAUCCACCGUGCGAGCCACUGCACAAAUUACCACGCCGCUAAAGGGUCCAGGAACCUCCGCGUCGCAGCCACGAACCACCGUGCACGAAGACAGACUAUGCAAACGCUCACGCGAACCACCGCGCCGCAUCAAUACCGUGUUGCAUGAACCAUCGCGUCACACUAGCCACCAUGCUGCGCGAACCAUCGCACUCCUUCACGUCGACCAAGUUGCGGCCACCUGCUUCGUCGGCUGUAGAUAUAUGUGUUAACGAAGAUAUGCGGGUUGACAGCAGUGUUCACAUGUUUGGGUUCACAAGGUGUUAACGCCGUUAAUGGCGUCUAGUUUAGGACAAUUAGGGUUCUGUUAUUAUGGCGUGAAAACCUUAAUCUAUAAACCUUUAGUUAGUCUUCGCGUGCGGUGGUUUGUGGCUGCGACGCGGAUGUUCUUGGACCCUUUAGCGACACUGUGGUUCGCGCAGUGGAUUGCCCGGCAACGCGCAAUGGUCUGUGGCUGGCAGCUGCCGCAUGGUGUAAGGUGAUGGUGGUGGCUGUAAUUCAUGUUUUAGGAUUUUAGAAAAUAGGAAAAAUAAACUAUGUGUGAAUUAAUUUCCUACAUAUUAAGAUUUAAGUUCAUUUAAUUUAUAUUAAAUUAAAAUAUAAUAUUAUAAUAUAAUUGCAUGUGUGAAUUCCUGCACUUUACUAUCGUUAAUUUGUGCACCUUACGCCAUCAAUUUCUAUAAUAAUUUUAUUAAAGUUUAAUUAAAGUGUUUAAUGAAAUUUAAUUAUGUUAUAAUGUAAUUUAAUUUACAUUAAAUUAAAUUUUAAUUAAAAUUUUAAUUAAAUUUUAUUAUGUUGUAAUGAAAUUUAAUUUGUAUUAAAAUAAAGUUUAAUUAAAGUUUUUAUGAAAUUUUAUUAUGUUAUAAUAUAAUUUAAUUUACAUUAAAUUAAAGUUUCAUUAAAGUUUUAAUGAAAUUUUAUUAUUUUGUAAUGUAAUUUAAUUUGUAUUUAAUUUGUAUUUAAUUAAAUUAUAAUUUAAUGUAAAUUAAAUUACAUUAUAACAUAAUAAAAAUUUAUAAAAACUUUAAUUUAAUAAAAAUUAAAUUACAUUAUAACAUAUUAAUUUUUUUUUAAAAUUUAUUUUAAUGCAAAUUAAAUUACAUAAUAAAAUUUCAUUAAAACUUUAAUUAAACUUUAAUUUAAUACAAAUUAAAUUACAUUGCAACAUAAUAAAAUUUCAUUAAAAUUUUAAUUCAACUUUAAUUUAAUGAAAAUUAAAUUAUAUUAUAACAUAAUAAAAUCUUAUUAAAAACUUUAAUUAAACUUUAAUAAAACUGUUAAUGAAAUUGAUGGCGUAACAUGCACAAAUUAACGACGUAAGGCGCAGGAAUUCACACAUGCAAUUAUAUUAUAACAUUAUAUUUUAAUUUAAUAUAAAUUAAAUCAACUUGAAUCUUAAUGUGCAGGAAAUUAAUUCACACACAAUUUCUUUUUCCCUUCUACUAAAACCCUAAAACAUCAAUUACAGUCACCACUGCCACCUUGCACCAUGCAGCAGCUGCCAGCCACGGACCACUGUGCGCUGCCGGCCAAUCCACCGUGCGAGCCAUUGUGCAAAUUACCGUGCCACUAAAGGGUCCAGGAGCUUCCGCGUCGCAGCUACAAACCACCGUGCACGAAGACCCACUACGCAAACGCUCACGCGAACCACCGCGCCGCAUCAAUACCGUGUUGCGUGAACCAUCGCGUCACACCAGCCACCGUGCUGCGCGAACCAUCACACUCCUUCACGUCGACCAAGUUGCGGCCACCUGCGUCGUCGGUUGUAGGUAUAUGUGUUGAAAAAGAUGUGCGGGCUGACAGCAGUGUUCACAUGUUUGGGUUCACAGGGUGUUAACGCCGUUAAUGGCGUCUAGUUUAGGACAAUUAGGGUUCUGUUAUUAAGGCAUGAAAACCUUAAUCUAUAAACCUUAAAUUUUAAAUUAGGAUUCUUAAAUUGAGAAUACUUUAAAUUAGGGUUCUGUUAUAGAGGAAUGAAAACUUUGAUCCAUAAAGUGACUCACAUGACUUAGAGUUUGGGCGUUGGGCCCGAGUAUGAUUUAAUAAUAAUAAUAGAAUAAAGUGCCCGUUGGUUAACGUGAAAAAUAUAUAUAUGAUGAUACCUAAUGAAAACCUACAUCUGAUGGAGAUUGAGAACUAAAAGCAAUAGAGUUCUGUGUCUGCAAAUAAACGUUGUCUCACUAUUAGACAAUGAAGUAAUUGUCAAGAGAUAGAUUGGGACAAAGGAGAUAAAGUAACUGCUCAAGUAGGAUCACUCAUGGAUCAAGGUAAAUGUUUAUUCCUUCUUUAUUGUAUGAAUAUAUGUGAGAAUCAUGAUGUGAUAAGAUCUAUAUGUGAACAUAAAUGUAUGCGUUCAUAAUCAUGUUUUAAUUUACAUGUGGUAUCACAAGCUUGUUGUUCAUUUUUGUGAUUCUCCAUUAAUGUUUUUCCAUAAUUUUAAGAACCCUAAUUUUGUUGUUCCUAAUUGAAGAACCUAAUUUUAAAAUUAGGGUUUAUGGAUCAAAGUUUCCAUUCCUCUAUAAUAGAACCCUAAUUGUCAUAAACCAACCAAAAUCAAAGAACCCUAAUUUUUUUAAAUAUUCCCAAUUUAAGAAUUCUAAUUUAAAAUUAGGGUUUAUAACAAAUUAUAAAAUACUUUGAACAGACAAUAAACAUAUAUAUUAUAUGUUGCAUUAUCCAAUGAACUGAACUAUAGAGAAUAUCCCAGUUCUGGUUUAGGGUCAGAGUUAACCUACCAGCUCCAAUUCCUUAUGAAUAUUCAAUCCAUUGCCCAGUUGCCACGUCCAGUGUGGUUCCAAAUAAUUUUAAUGAGCUUUGCAUACUCCAUAGCUUGUGGCUCAUAGAUGAAAGAAGAUAUCGUAGCAGACAUUUAAGAUUUUGAGAGCACGGGGAAGUAAAAUUAACAAAGAUGUAUUGUCAAGGGACUACCUGGAUCAGUGAUUUGUUUUCGGAUGCUGGUUAAUCCAUUUAGAUAUUAAUUGAUGCAAGUUCUUCUCCGACCCUGAACUUCUUCUCACAGCAACAAAUUCCUACCAUCACAUGAACACAGUAACACAGUAAAUUCAUCACAACAACAAAGCCAUAGAGUUUAGGGCGCGCAAGCACAAACCUGAAUCCUUGCGCGGAGGUGGCGAUGGCGGACCCGAGAGUGAGCGUUAGUUCCGUGAGAGGACAGAGGCAUUAGGGUUUCGUGAGAGGACGGAGACAUUAGGGUUUCGUGAGAGGAAAAAGGCGUUAGGGUUUCGUGAGAGGACAAAGGCGUUAGGGUUUCGUGUGGAGCAACCAGAUGUAAAAGGCGUUAGGGUUUUGUUUCGUGUGAAGUAGAGAAAGGGAAGAGGCGGGUGUGGAGCAGAGAGAGGGAAGAGACGUUAGGGGUGUGGAGCAGAGAGGGAAGAGGUGUUAGGGUUUGGUUUCCAAACUCAAACCAAAUUUUAAAAAAAAUUAUUUUAAAGGAAAAGUAAGUUUUCAAAAAAAAAAUUCAAUUUUUAAGUGAAAGCAAGUUUUUUUAAAAAAAAGAAUAAUGAGAAGUGGUGUAUGGAGAGAAAAAACUGGGGAACUUUUUUUUUUGGAAGGAUAAUUGCGACAGUUAAAAAUGACAUAUUAUACUGAAAUGACGUAUUAUACAAAGAUAAUUGUGGCGGUUAGUCAAAUGACAUAUUAUACUGAAAAUUGUGACAGUUAUUAAUAACCGCCAUAAUAAAACCGCCACUUUUUACACUGGUUUUUGUAGUGAGAUUAAUGUUUCUAUUCUUCAAUAAUAGAAUCCUAUUUGUCCUAAACCAAACGCCAUUAACGGCGUGAAGACCGCUGUCAGCCCGCGCAUCUUUGUGACCACCCAUAUCUGUAGCCGACGACGUAGGUUACCGCAACCUGGUCGACGUCAAGGAGCGCGGUGGUUCGCACAGCACGGUGGCUGGUGUGGCGUGGUGGUUCGUGCAGUCGCAGUAGGUUCUCUUCGCGUGGUGCGGUGAGUCUUCUUCAUGCAAUGGUUCGCGCAACACAGUGUUGGUGCAGUGUGAUGGUUUGCGCGAGUGUUCGCAUAGUUAGUCUUCGCGUGCGGUGGUUCGUGGCUGCGACACGGAGGUUCUUGGACCCUUUAGCGGCAUAGUGGUUCGUGCAGUGGAUUGCCCGGCAGUGCGCAAUGGUAUGUGGCUGGCAGCUGCCGCAUGGUGCAAGGUGAUGGUGGUGGCUGUAAUUCAUGUUUUAGGAUUUUAGAAAAUGGGAAAAAUAAACUAUGUGUGAAUUAAUUUCCUAC